rnacentral:lncRNA from 1 species
GCAUGUUGACAUUGUGAGAUAAAUGUGCAUGAAACUAGGUUGAUAACCCUAGAAUGAUUAAAGUGAAUGAUGCUAUGCUAAAGUAUAAGUGAUAAGCAUGAUAUAAGAAUAGUAAAUGCAAGUGCAUGUUAAGAAUGCUAAGUAAGGAACAUAUAUAGGUGGACAUGAAUAAACCUAUAGAUCGAGUGGCAUUAAACCUAGUGUCGAGGACAUAGGUUAAAUAAAUGAGAUGUUGAACCUAAUGUAAAGAACAUAGGUUAAAUAAGAGUGAUGUUAAACCUAAUGUAAAGAACAUAGGUUGUGAAAUGAAAGCUGCUUAACCUAGAGUUAAGUGAACCUAGGUUGGAAAAGAAUGAUGAUCCUAGUGUAAUAAACCUAGGUUAAGAAUGUGAAAGCAAUAAACCUAAAGUAAUAACUUAGGUUGUGUAAAGGAUGUUGAACCUAGAGUCAAUUGGACCUAGGAGAUAAAUGCUUAGACCUAGAGAGGUCAGUUCCAUAGGGUUAAGACCAACCCUUGGUUGAUGUGAUAUGGAUUCCGGAAUCCCGCUGCUUGCUGCUACACCCAAAGUGGUGUCGGGUGUGUGCGACGAUUUCGCCGCCCAGGGGCUAGAGAACCAUUGUCGUGGCGUGUGUGCGACGAUUUCGCCGCCGGAUGGUUAGCCAGUUUGUGGAUCCUACCGCCUGUUGACUGAACCACUGUCGUGGCGUGUGUGCGACGAUUUCGCCGCCGGGUGACUAAGUCAUUGAACCUAGGCCGUUGUUGGGUGAGGUGCGAUUCGUUCGCCGCCAGACGGCUAGGACAGGAGUACGGUGAGCUGUUGCCAGCUGAGGUGCAUGUGAGAGUUCCUUCACCUCGAGCUAGACAGUGCGCGGACUAUCCGCGAUUGAUUGACUCAAGACCGAGUCGGGUGGCUUUGUUGACUAAGGUAAAGUGACCUUAGAGUAGAAUGCCAAAGGCUAAGAGAUAGCAUGGUUCAAGAAUGUUAAGAGUAAAGAACAGCUAAACGAUAAUGAAUAGCUAAAGAGUAAAGAAUGGCUAAAGAACAAUGAAUAGAUAAUGAAAGGAAUAGCUAAGAGCUAAAAGUAAGCAUUAAAUGGCAAGGAGUAAAGAAUGAUUAAGAACAUAAGUAGUGUUAAAGUAACCUACUUGCAUGAUUACAGGUAUUGCAUAUUGCAUUUCGUGAGGCAUGACAUGUAUUUCAAUUGAAUAUAUAUCUGUUGUAUAUUGUUGAUCUAACAUGUUGCAGUGCCUCGUUAGACCUGUUGGCUGAGCUUGUUCUCUUGGGUGGCUAAACCCACUGAGGACUAUGGACAAUAGUCUCACCCCCGUGUUGCUGUUUUGGGGGUACAGGUACACACGUGUGCGGCGCGGCGGCGCAAGGCGAGGACGUAGUUCUGCAGAUAGCGUCCUACCCAGAGACUGAGAUAGCAGUACCCGAGUUGGUG